rnacentral:lncRNA from 1 species
CCACCAGCUCCGAGUAAUCCACCUACGGUAGCACCGACUCCCGCUCCAACCCCUGCACCAACUCCAGCUCCAAUGUCAGCACCCACACGAUCACCACCAGCUCCAACUAAUCCACCCAUGCUAGCACCAGCUCCGACUCCGACUCGUGCACCGACACCAGCUCCGACGCCGGCACCGACUCCUUCUCCCACGCCUGUCCCGACCCCUUCUCCGACGCCAGCACCAACCCCUGCUCCGACACCGGCACGGACUCCUGCUCCCACGCCCGUCCCGACCCCUUCUCCGACGCCAGCACCAACCCCUGCUCCGACACCGGCACCGACUCCUGCUCCCACGCCCGUCCCGACCCUUUCUCCGACGCCAGCACCAACCCCUGCUUCGACACCGGCACCGACUCCUGCUUCAGCACCGGCACCGACUCCUGCUCCCACGCCCGUUCCAACUCCUGCUCCGACACCCAUCCCGACCCCUUCUCCAACGCCAGCACCAACCCCUGCUCCGGCACCGGCACUGACUCCUGCUCCCACACCCGUUCCGACUCCUGCUCCGACACCCGUCCCGACCCCUGCACCCACGCCGGCACCAACCCCUGCUCCGGCACCCACUCCGACUCCUGCUCCUGCUCCGACGCCGGUACCAACCCCUGCACCUACACCAGCAUCGAUAGUUGCUCCUACACAAGCACCAACCCCGACACCGACGCCCUCACCAAUACCUGCUCCGACUCCUGCUCCAACGUCCACAUUGACCCCUACUCCGACACCAGCUCCAGCUCCUGCACCAACCCCUGCACCGGUGCUGCCACCUUCAACGCCCAGACCACCACCACCACCCCAAGCUGUGUGUCCUGCCGGCUUCAGUAACCUAGAAGCGUUUAACUCUGCCGUUCUACCCUAUGCUUUACGCCGCACUAUUCUGCUUUUGGUAUCUAAGCCGAGCAUUGCUCUCUUCCCGCCCACCAUCAAAACAACAUGCCUUUGCUAUUUCUCAACUAGCACCACGAUCGGCAUCAUAACCGUUCCCAGUGUCAGAGGCCCCAUCGAAUGCGUGCCUGCCCGAACUGCUUGAGCAUAUGCAUGCAACGCACUUGCAGCGCAAAUGUGCACAUGUUGCGAAGCCAUUUCCUCAUACUUAUUUCCUAUUGAUCAGGCCACCUACUAUAUCAUACUAGUAUUUGAAUAAGUAGCGUGCAUGAAUGUGCGUCUGCAUGCCGAGAGACUGACUUGUGUGUUGAACCUGCGGUAAACAAAGAGUUGUUGUGUUGCUCGUGUAAUGAGUCAUAUGUAUUUGUAUGUGCAUGUGCUCAAAAUACAAAAUACUAUAUACAUAUUCUUGAAGCAUGCGUGUUAAAUGUUUUAUUAUUAUCGAGGAGUUUCUACUACUUUGUGGAAGUAGGCCUAUAUGGUCGUCUCACAAUUUUUAGAGCUACUACAGACGCAAUUAAAAUAUAUAGUAGUUUUAUAUUGUCUAUAACAUACCAUGCUGACUAAGCAAAAUAUAACAAUUUCAAGGGAAAUAUGUAGCAUGACAUAUCCAUCCAUGUCCCAAUAAAAUAACAUGAUAUAAUCACUUCUCUUCUUUUAAUUAAAACAUUGAAUUAGGGGUAGAGAGUGGAAAUAUUGCAAUAACUAUACAAAC